CGGGAUGAGUGGAGCUUGCUCCAUGAUUCAGCGGCGGACGGGUGAGUAAUGCCUAGGAAUCUGCCUGGUAGUGGGGGACAACGUUUCGAAAGGAACGCUAAUACCGCAUACGUCCUACGGGAGAAAGUGGGGGAUCUUCGGACCUCACGCUAUCAGAUGAGCCUAGGUCGGAUUAGCUAGUUGGUGAGGUAAAGGCUCACCAAGGCGACGAUCCGUAACUGGUCUGAGAGGAUGAUCAGUCACACUGGAACUGAGACACGGUCCAGACUCCUACGGGAGGCAGCAGUGGGGAAUAUUGGACAAUGGGCGAAAGCCUGAUCCAGCCAUGCCGCGUGUGUGAAGAAGGUCUUCGGAUUGUAAAGCACUUUAAGUUGGGAGGAAGGGCAGUAAGUUAAUACCUUGCUGUUUUGACGUUACCGACAGAAUAAGCACCGGCUAACUUCGUGCCAGCAGCCGCGGUAAUACGAAGGGUGCAAGCGUUAAUCGGAAUUACUGGGCGUAAAGCGCGCGUAGGUGGUUCGUUAAGUUGGAUGUGAAAGCCCCGGGCUCAACCUGGGAACUGCAUCCAAAACUGGCGAGCUAGAGUAUGGCAGAGGGUGGUGGAAUUUCCUGUGUAGCGGUGAAAUGCGUAGAUAUAGGAAGGAACACCAGUGGCGAAAGCGACCACCUGGGCUAAUACUGACACUGAGUGCGAAAGCGUGGGGAGCAAACAGGAUUAGAUACCCUGGUAGUCCACGCCGUAAACGAUGUCGACUAGCCGUUGGGAUCGUUGAGAUCUUAGUGCGCAGCUACGCAUAAGUCGACGCCUGGGGAGUACGGCCGCAGUUAAAGCUCAAAUGAAUUGACGGGGCCCGCCACAAGCGGUGGAGC
rnacentral:rRNA from 2 species